UGACGGUACCCGAGAAGGAAGCCCCGGCUAACUACGUGCCAGCAGCCGCGGUAAUACGUAGGGGGCAAGCGUUAUCCGGAUUUACUGGGUGUAAAGGGAGCGUAGACGGCGAUGCAAGUCUGAUGUGAAAGGCUGGGGCUCAACCCCGGGACUGCAUUGGAAACUGUAUUGCUGGAGUGCCGGAGAGGUAAGCGGAAUUCCUAGUGUAGCGGUGAAAUGCGUAGAUAUUAGGAGGAACACCAGUGGCGAAGGCGGCUUACUGGACGGUAACUGACGUUGAGGCUCGAAAGCGUGGGGAGCAAACAGGAUUAGAUACCCUG
rnacentral:rRNA from 1 species